CAAUAGCGUAUAUUAAAGUUGUUGCAGUUAAAAAGCUCGUAGUUGGAUUUGUGGCUGUCGCGUGCGGCCUGACACAAUGUGUUAGUGUUUGCUUGCGUCGCCAUCCUUGGGUGGAACCUGUGUGGCAUUAGGUUGUCGUGCAGGGGAUGCCCAUCGUUUACUGUGAAAAAAUUAGAGUGUUCAAAGCAGGCUUAUGCCGUUGAAUAUAUUAGCAUGGAAUAAUAAGAUAGGACCUUGGUACUAUUUUGUUGGUUUGCGCACCAAGGUAAUGAUUAAUAGGGACAGUUGGGGGUAUUCGUAUUCCAUUGUCAGAGGUGAAAUUCUUGGAUUUUUGGAAGACGAACUACUGCGAAAGCAUUUACCAAGGAUGUUUUCAUUA
rnacentral:rRNA from 1 species